rnacentral:rRNA from 1 species
CCUACGGGUGGCAGCAGUGAGGAAUAUUGGUCAAUGGGCGAGAGUCUGAACCAGCCAAGUAGCGUGAAGGAUGACUGCCCUAUGGGUUGUAAACUUCUUUUGUCUGGGAAUAAAAUGCUCCACGUGUGCCUUUUUGUAUGUACCCUAUGAAUAAGGAUCGGCUAACUCCGUGCCAGCAGCCGCGGUAAUACGGAGGAUCCGAGCGUUCUCCGGAUUUAUUGGGUUUAAAGGGAACGUAGGUGGGUUGUUAAGUCAGUUGUGAAAGUUUGUGGCGCAACCGUAAAAUUGCAGUUGAUACUGGCAGACUUGAGUACAGUAGAGGUAGGCGGAAUUCGUGGUGUAGCGGUGAAAUGCUUAGAUAUCACGAAGAACUCCGAUUGCGAAGGCAGCUCACUGGACUGCAACUGACACUGAGGCUCGAAAGUGUGGGUAUCAAACAGGAUUAGAUACCCUUGUAGUC